rnacentral:tRNA from 1 species
AAAAAAUUAGUUAAUUUAAUAAUAUUAGUAUGUCAAACUAAUGUAAUCUUAUAAAAGAUAUUUUUUA